rnacentral:tRNA from 1 species
UGUUCUGUGGCUUUGUUGGUUGAUGCGCUGGACUAGCGAUACGGAGUUGUGGGUUUGAAUCCCACCAAAACAA